GCUAAUCCACUGAUUAAACAAACAAACUCCCCAUCAUAAUCUACUUCCUUCAAAAAUUAUUAUUAUAAAUCCUCCAAAAGAAAUUUUUUUACACGACCCUUUUUCAGCUCAACGGUUCAGCUGGCUGCGUGGUUGAGCGAGUGUUCGAUUCAAUCUCGGUUAAACACGUCCAAAUCGACUCAGUCUGCGCGAAGAAGUCCUUUGAAUUUAUACCGUUGAAGAUUCGCUCGAACGUGAUAGUGGGCACAGUGAGUUUUUGAGAUUUGCAUUGGCAGGGGUGAAAAAUGGGGAAAAUAGAUGGAAUCUAGGGAUUUGAAGGGGGCCCUUUUUUGAAUUUGGGGAAAAGGGCCCAGAGUUUUGAGGGAGAGGAAGAAAAAUGAAGGAUUUACUGGGUAGCCCUGGAACUGUGUGUGGAUUGAUGUUGAGGAUUGGGCAAUGUUUGUUUGCAGCUGGUUCCAUUGGAGUUAUGGUUUCUGCUGCUGGGUUUUCUAAUUUCACUGCUUAUUGUUACCUUAUUGCAUCAAUGGGGCUUCAAGUGUUAUGGAGCUUUGGACUUGCAUGUCUUGAUAUCUAUGCUUUGCGGAUAAAAAGAGACCUCCGCAAUCCAGUCCUAGUUAGCCUGUUUGUUGUUGGUGAUUGGGUGACAGCUACCUUAUCACUUGCUGCUGCAUGCUCGUCAGCUGGGAUAGCAGUUUUGUAUGCAAAAGACUUAAAAUUUUGUACAGGUCCAACGCAUCUCCCAUGCCACAGAUUUGAACUGGCCAUAGCUAUGGCGUUCGUUACGUGGUUCCUCAUCGCCAUGUCGUCUCAUAUCAUGUUCUGGAUAUUAGCAUCAGUUUAAAAUCUUUUCUUUCAGAUUCAAGUUUUUCUCCCCCAUUUCUCUCCCCAGCAAUUUUCACAGCAUCAUCGCCGGUGAUAAUGCUGAUAACACACUCGAUCUCGUCUGCAACCUCCUUCAUGGAAGGGCGAUUCUGCCGUCGUUCGUCCAAGCAAGCUGCAGCCAGAUUCCCGAUUGCCUUCAUCGUCUCGAGCUCCACCUCCGUCGCCCCUUGCUUGAUCGCUGGAUCGAGCACGGCCAUCAGGUUGUCCUCAUCAAACAUCCUCUUCAUGUAAACCACCAGGUUCACAUUCUCCUCCUCUCUAUUGAAAUCAAUAGCUCUCUUGCAAGUCAGCAGCUCCAGCAGCACGACGCCGAAGCUGUACACGUCGCUCCGAUCCGUGAGCUGCAUGUUCACGUAGUACUCGGGAUCGAGGUACCCGAGCGUCCCCUGAGCUGAGGUGUUGAUGUGGGUGCAGUCCCUCUCGCUUAGCUCGACCAACCUCGACAGCCCAAAAUCCGACACCUUAGCGUCGAGGUUCUCAUCUAGGAGUAUGUUGCUCGUCUUCACGUCCCGGUGGUAGAUGGGGGGCACAGCGGACGAGUGGAGGUAGGCAAGGCCGUCGGCCGCGUGGUGGGCGAUGAAGAGGCGCCUCAGCCAGCCCAGGGGCGGAGUCUGGCGCGCCUCCGCCCUGUGCAGGUGCUCGAAGAGGGUCCCCCUCGCGACGUACUCGUAUAUCAAGAGGGGCUGCUCGAGCUCCACGCAGCAGCCGAUCAUCCUCACCAGGCUCCGAUGGUUGACCUGGCAGAGGAUCCUGACCUCGUUGAGGACCUGGGCCGUGCCCGCGGCGUUCCCCGGCUUCGCCCUCUUCACGGCUAUCUCGGUCCGGUCGUCUAAGGUACCUUUGAAAACCUCCCCGAAUCCGCCGGUGCCGAGCAGGUUCUCUUUAGAGAAGUCGUUGGUUGCUUUCUUGAUCUCUUUGCCUGAGAAAAUCUUGGCUGAUUUGCCGCUGUUGUGAGAAUUUAAGAUAUGCUCUCUUUGCUUGAUUAGUGUCUUUCUUGCCGCGUUCUUUGUGUAUUGACGCUGUCUGUACACGAGGAAUGCGGUCAGAAGCAGGAGAAGGAAUACGCCCGUAGUCGCUGCAGAGAGGAUCCCAGUAGCGCCCCUUCUUGCAGAGGCACCUCCUGCGGCCACCGUCGACGGAAUCGGCCAAGCACUUCGAGAAGGGCAGCUCACGGCAGCCCAACGUAGUGUUGCAGGGCGGCUCCAACGGGGAGACGUACAUGAGCUCCAGCCCGGGCGCCGGCCACUUGGCAAACGGGAGGCUGGGAUCGAAGUUCACGUAGCUGUGGUACGCCAUACAUCCGUCCGCGUGGACACGGAUGAUGUACGCAUUCUGCGAUCCCCCCGUCCGGAACGAGCAGCAGAGCUUCUGCUUAUUGCAGACGCCUGCCGAAGGAGUGUUGUCGAUGUAGGUGUGGCAAGGGCAGUUUGAGGAGCAGUUGAUAGGCACCUGCAGAUGCAACAUGUUGUCGGUGCAGUUGAAGAGGAGUAUGGUGUUGCUGCUGCUGAUGUUGAAGGGGAGCGAGUCGUCGAUUUGGAAGCCCUCGCUGCUGAAGUCCUCGGAGAAGCACGUGCCCGGGAGCACGGACGGGGGGCGGAUCACCAUCCGUUGGGACCUCGUGUCGAUGGAUGUGAUCGGGUAGAGCCUCCCGGGCUUUGAGAUGAAAUGCAGGGUGCCUGUGUUUGGAUCACACUUGAUCUUGUAGGCCUGGUCGCCGCAGCUCGGGCUGAUGCUCAUCGGGUAGGGCACUGGGGUCUUGCCGCACUGCCCGCAGUGCAUGACGGCGGCUGCCAAAGGAGGAAAUAUUAUUGCUAGGAGGAGAAAUGGAGAAGUCACCAUUGGAGCUCAAGUAGAGUAGUAUGUGGUGUGGUUAGUUACUUAGUUAUAUUUUUCAUGGUGAUGGAGGUUUUUGUCUGUUUCAACCUCGUACGGAUCAAGAGGGAUGCGUAGGAAUUUGAUGUUUGGGAUUUUCCAUGCAUUGAUAUGUGCAGAUGAAUUUUAAAGAUAUGAUUUUGGACAGGAGUCUUGAAUGUCAACUUGUAGAAUUCAAAUGUUUAUAGGGCUUCUUAGAAACCAGACAGCGAUUUUUGGGGAAGCUUGUGUGAUCAGAAUGUAAUGAUGAAUAACACUAACAUAGCUCUUUCAUGUGUUGGGCUCACUAUUUUUAUAUCUUUCUUUUUCUUUGGGAUU